rnacentral:rRNA from 1 species
GCCGCGUGUGUGAAGAAGGCCUUCGGGUUGUAAAGCACUUUUGUACGGGAAGAAAAGCUUUCGGUUAAUACCCGGGAGUCAUGACGGUACCGUAAGAAUAAGCACCGGCUAACUUCGUGCCAGCAGCCGCGGUAAUACGAAGGGUGCAAGCGUUACUCGGAAUUACUGGGCGUAAAGCGUGCGUAGGUGGUUUGUUAAGUCUGAUGUGAAAGCCCUGGGCUCAACCUGGGAAUGGCAUUGGAUACUGGCAGUCUAGAGUGUGGGAGAGGGUAGCGGAAUUCCCGG